AAGUCGUAACAAGGUAUCUGUAGGUGAACCUGCAGAUGGAUCAUUUCGAUGAAAAACCUUUUUUCUGAGGUGUGGCUCGCACCUGUCCAACUAAACUUGAGCUACCUUUUUAUACACGGUUGCAUCGGUCGGCCUGUCCAACAGUGCGGGAAUGUAUUUUCCGGCGCUGAGCAGACGAGUCGGCACUUUACACAAACACUUUUGAUAAUCUAGGAUUUGAAUGAAAGUUCAUUUUUAUGAUGGAUCCGACUGGUAAUGCGGUCGUCUAAAUCUAAAAAACAACUUUUGGCAACGGAUCUCUUGGUUCUC
rnacentral:misc_RNA from 1 species